UACUGUAACGCGCGUUUGGAGGGACGGAGGGAAAGAGUUCUUGUAAAAAGUACAGCGAUUCCAGUCUAGCAGUAGUUUUCAGCGAUCCCCAACGAACGAUUUUGAGAACAUGAAGAAAGGAGUGCAUCCUCAGAUGCAGUGGAUAUCCUAUGUGACUCAAAGUGGGCGUUUAAUGAACAUUAUGAUGACCAAGAUACACCAGACUGGAAAGGUUUAUCACAUCAAAGCAAAACGUCAAAUGGCUCAAAAAAUCGGACAGAUUGCCAAGUUCAAUCUUCGUUAUGGACAGAAAGAAGAGGAAAGCCAGGAGAAAUGACUUCUUGGUAUGUUGUUUAGGAUUAUGCUUUUCUACUCAUAUGAUCAUUGAUACUUGGUGUUAACUUUCUUAGUUGCUAAACUUUGCUGAAAUAAAGUGGAGUUGGAUCUCCUUCUCUCUUGGCUCAA